rnacentral:rRNA from 1 species
GGGGGUACCCUGACCCCGACGCCGCGUGACCGAGGAAGGCCCUCGGGUCGUAAAGGUCUUUCCCGGGGACUAUAGUGAAGGUACCCGCAGAAGCAGGAGCGGCUAACUACGUGCCAGCAGCCGCGGUAAUACGUAGGCUCCAAGCGUUGUUCGGAAUCACUGGGCGUAAAGCGAGCGCAGGCGGCGCGCCUUUUCUGGUCGUGAAAUCUCCCGGCUCAACCGGGAGGGUGCGGUCGAAACUGGCGUGCUAGAGUGCGGCAGGGGAAGGCAGAAUUCCUGGUGUAGCGGUGGAAUGCGUAGAGAUCAGGAGGAAUGCCGGAGGUGAAGACGGCCUUCCGGGCCGCCACUGACGCUGAGGCUCGAAAGCGUGGGGAGCGAACAGGAUUAGAUACCCUGGUAGUCCACGCCCUAAACGAUGCAUACUUGGUGUGGGCCCUU